rnacentral:ncRNA from 2 species
UGCUGGCCUGGGGAUGGAGUCCCCCGCAUAAAUACCCACCAAGGGCUGAUGACUCCUACGACGCA